rnacentral:rRNA from 2 species
GCUCCUGAAUUCAGCGGCGGACGGGUGAGUAAUGCCUAGGAAUCUGCCUGGUAGUGGGGGACAACGUUUCGAAAGGAACGCUAAUACCGCAUACGUCCUACGGGAGAAAGCAGGGGACCUUCGGGCCUUGCGCUAUCAGAUGAGCCUAGGUCGGAUUAGCUAGUUGGUGAGGUAAUGGCUCACCAAGGCGACGAUCCGUAACUGGUCUGAGAGGAUGAUCAGUCACACUGGAACUGAGACACGGUCCAGACUCCUACGGGAGGCAGCAGUGGGGAAUAUUGGACAAUGGGCGAAAGCCUGAUCCAGCCAUGCCGCGUGUGUGAAGAAGGUCUUCGGAUUGUAAAGCACUUUAAGUUGGGAGGAAGGGUUGUAGAUUAAUACUCUGCAAUUUUGACGUUACCGACAGAAUAAGCACCGGCUAACUCUGUGCCAGCAGCCGCGGUAAUACAGAGGGUGCAAGCGUUAAUCGGAAUUACUGGGCGUAAAGCGCGCGUAGGUGGUUCGUUAAGUUGGAUGUGAAAUCCCCGGGCUCAACCUGGGAACUGCAUCCAAAACUGGCGAGCUAGAGUAUGGUAGAGGGUGGUGGAAUUUCCUGUGUAGCGGUGAAAUGCGUAGAUAUAGGAAGGAACACCAGUGGCGAAGGCGACCACCUGGACUGAUACUGACACUGAGGUGCGAAAGCGUGGGGAGCAAACAGGAUUAGAUACCCUGGUAGUCCACGCCGUAAACGAUGUCAACUAGCCGUUGGGAGCCUUGAGCUCUUAGUGGCGCAGCUAACGCAUUAAGUUGACCGCCUGGGGAGUACGGCCGCAAGGUUAAAACUCAAAUGAAUUGACGGGGGGCCCGCACAAGCGGUGGAGCAUGUGGUUUAAUUCGAA